GGGGGCUGUACAUGCAGCUCUCUGCAUAUUUUACGAGAUCCUUCGGUCGAGGAAGACGAGAAGCCAGACCUGUAAAUGUUAUAUGAUGCAACUCAACUUUAGCAGCAAUGUUAGCAGAUAUCUUUCUGAUGUUGGUAAAAGGAGGGUAAAUCAAUCCCUUAUCAUAGUUUUCCUGACUCACUUGGGCAGCCAGAGCCGCAGCUGGAAAGAGGAAAAAACCCGUUAAAUCGAGCUCUGACCCGGCAAAACUAAUACUCGACAUGCGUUGGAUGGGGGCUGCCAGGAGCAUGUCAUCGUGCACACGAAUCGUGCCCGACAUGAUCAGACCCAAGCCAAAUCCAGGGAAUAUGAUCAAAUGGACUUCCACUAGCAAAGAUCGCCCGGCCCUGCAGGACUUGGACUGUACCUGGCUCCAUGUAUAAGCUUCUUCAGCUGUACACUCCGAUUGUGAUGUAGGAUUCGAGAGAGCAAGGAUCAACGGUUUCUGCAUAGAAUCGAGACUCGAGUUAAUCUUAAGUAACUUCUUG